rnacentral:misc_RNA from 1 species
CGAGCGGGCGGUCGCGAGGAGAGAGGUCGUUGCACGCGGAGACCGGCAGGGGCGAGCUACUCAACGCGAUCGCACGCGAGGCCGAGUCGUUCUCCGGGGAAUUUGGCUUCUUCGCGAAAAACCUGACCACCGGCGAGACCAUCGGCCAGCAAGCCGACGCCGUGAUGCCGACCGCGAGCGUGAUCAAGAUCUGCGUCCUCUGCGAACUCUACCGCCAGGCCGAGGUCGGCCUGGUCGAGCUGUUUGAGCGCCG